rnacentral:rRNA from 1 species
GAUGAACGCUAGCGGGAGGCCUAACACAUGCAAGCCGAGCGGUAUUGUUUCUUCGGAAAUGAGAGAGCGGCGUACGGGUGCGUAACACGUGUGCAACCUGCCUUUAUCUGGGGGAUAGCCUUUCGAAAGGAAGAUUAAUACUCCAUAAUAUAUUGAACGGCAUCGUUUAAUAUUGAAAGCUCCGGCGGAUAGAGAUGGGCACGCGCAAGAUUAGCUAGUUGGUGAGGUAACGGCUCACCAAGGCGAUGAUCUUUAGGGGGCCUGAGAGGGUGAUCCCCCACACUGGUACUGAGACACGGACCAGACUCCUACGGGAGGCAGCAGUGAGGAAUAUUGGUCAAUGGGUGCAAGCCUGAACCAGCCAUCCCGCGUGAAGGACGACUGCCCUAUGGGUUGUAAACUUCUUUUGUAUAGGGAAAAACCUACCCUCGUGAGGGUAGCUGAAGGUACUAUACGAAUAAGCAUCGGCUAACUCCGUGCCAGCCGCCGCAGUAA